GAUGCAAUGCUAGAUGGUCAUCUUUGUGGUUAAGCUCUUUCUUGCAUAUGUUCUUUAUCUCUAUUGAUUGAUAUUUUUCAGCGAGCAACAUUAUAUAUAUAUAUAUAUAUUUUACCUGGAUUUGUAAGAUAAUUUUUAGAUUUCUCGACGUUAUACGCAACAUUAUAAUUUCUGUUGUAGUCAACUUCUGCUGCAACCCAUCCACAAAGCUUAUCAUGCGAGAUUAAACACUUUCUCGAUGGGUUGCAAUAGAACAUCACUAAAAUAGAAGUGAUAUUGUUUGGAAAAACGUCAAAGAACCGAUAUCUUAUAAACAUCUUACAAAUCCAGGUAGAAGAGAAUAUGAGGUUGCUUGUUGAAAAUAACAAUCUAUAAAUUUGAAGAAGAUACGCAAGAAAGAGUUCUAAACACAAAGCUGAUCAAACAUUCUAUUUGAAGAGUU
rnacentral:pre_miRNA from 1 species